GGUCACGAUAGCCAAGUGGUAAGCUCUUUGUACUGCCAUUCUGAAGACUAGGGUUCGAGUCCUAGUUCGACCA
rnacentral:tRNA from 1 species